AAUGGGGUAGCUGGGUCAAAUGGUGUUUCCAUUCCAACUUCUCUAAGGAAUCUCCAUACUGCUUUCCAGAUUGAUUGCACCAAUUUGCAGUCCCACCAGCAAU
rnacentral:pre_miRNA from 1 species